UUACGGAGCACCCGGCCCCUGUGCGUUGCAUGAAAUACGGACUCAAUCAUCGCGGCACUCCUGUGAGGUACGCGGCAGCACUGAUGUCACUGAACAUAGGACACCGAUGCACAGAGAUGUUAAGAACCCCGCACAACAUCCCCGAGUGAAGCACUUUGGUGGGAAGCUCCCACCCAGUCUCCCGCCACAGUGACCCCCCAGAACCACAGGCAAUCUAUAGAAAGUGAUGCCACAAAACUAAAAGGGGGGGGGGAAGGUAACGAUAGGGGAGAAAGAAAUUCAUUUCGAUGAGGGGAAUGCAGAAAAGCUCUAUGGAGAAGUCAGUACAUAAAUAUUUAAUAUACCCUAGGCGCUUGAAUCCCCAGCUGUUAAUUGUUUCCACUUUCUUAUUUGUAUUUUGAAUGACUUUUCUUUGAUUUAAAAGGGAAAUUAACUAAAAGGUGCAGAUAGCAGAUAUAAUGCACACUUGUAUUUACCGAAUACUCGCAUUUUGACAGCUCGGAACCUAGUGUAACAACAUAAGACAAAACAGACUUUCUUUCUCGCGGACUCUCUUCUUUCCUCGGGGCUGCGUUAAUGCUAUUCGUACACAGAAAAAUUAAAGUUCUUAAAAGUUAGGUGGAGUACCUCAAAGAACAGCACGACUUUAUAAAAGGCAAAUACAGAUCUGAAGAGCACAUGUCUGA